rnacentral:rRNA from 1 species
CGGCCGCGUCGACUAUCCUACGUGUAGGAUUUUGUAUGUACCGUAUGAAUAAGCAUCGGCUAACUACGUGCCAGCAGCCGCGGUAAUACGUAGGUGGCAAGCGUUGUCCGGAUUUAUUGGGCGUAAAGCGAGCGCAGGCGGAAGAAUAAGUCUGAUGUGAAAGCCCUCGGCUUAACCGAGGAACUGCAUCGGAAACUGUUUUUCUUGAGUGCAGAAGAGGAGAGUGGAAUUCCAUGUGUAGCGGUGGAAUGCGUAGAUAUAUGGAAGAACACCAGUGGCGAAGGCGACUCUCUGGUCUGCAACUGACGCUGAGGCUCGAAAG